AGUGAACGCUGGCGGUAGGCCUAACACAUGCAAGUCGAACGGCAGCACAGGAGAGCUUGCUCUCUGGGUGGCGAGUGGCGGACGGGUGAGGAAUACAUCGGAAUCUACCUUUUCGUGGGGGAUAACGCAGGGAAACUUACGCUACUACCGCAUACGCCCUCCGGGUGAAAGUGGGGGACCGCAAGGCCUCACGCGAUUAGAUGAGCCGAUGUCUGAUUAGCUAGUUGGCGGGGUAAUGGCCCACCAAGGCGACGAUCGGUAGCUGGUCUGAGAGGAUGAUCAGCCACACUGGAACUGAGACACGGUCCAGACUCCUACGGGAGGCAGCAGUGGGGAAUAUUGGACAAUGGGCGCAAGCCUGAUCCAGCCAUACCGCGUGGGUGAAGAAGGCCUUCGGGUUGUAAAGCCCUUUUGUUGGGAAAGAAAUCCUGUCGAUUAAUACUCGGUGGGGAUGACGGUACCCAAAGAAUAAGCACCGGCUAACUUCGUG
rnacentral:rRNA from 1 species